CCGAGCCGGAGGCAGACACCUAACUGACUGAGCCACCCAGACAGAGAUUCCAGGAGGCUGACGGCGUGAGACAUCUUACGUUCUCCUGGCUGUAUAUCAGAUGCCCAAGAAUCUGCAGGGUUUUUGGAGCAAAUAUCCAGUGAAAGUUUAUCCUGCCAAAGAGAGAGAGACACAGCGACAGAGGGAACACAAGC